AUAUCAUCGCGUUUUUAGCUAUUAACAUAAAAAAAUGUGGUCUAUUAAGAGGUCCUCCUUUUUUCUUGCCACUUUCGCAAUAUUUUUAAUCAUUGCAAGCCAAUGCACAUUUCCUCUCCUUUGUCUACAUAAAAAUGUUUAACAUUGUGAGCCUUCUUUUUAAGGAUUAUGUAAGAUCAUGUCUGUGCACAGGGAGAACCUGUUAAAUGGAAACAAUAAAUAAGUUAAUUGCCCUCUUUUGGCAAUUUGUUUUCACUUUGCUGCUCUUGAGUAUUUGAACAUCGUAACUUUACUAAAAUGACUAUACCAAUUCGAUUCAGACACGCCGGUUAAGUUUUGAAAUACUUAAACUAUAAGUCAAGCGAAAUUAAUUGUUCCGGUUAGAUAUGCUAAAAAUCGUAAUUGCCUUUGAAUACGAAGUACACUUUUUUUAUAAAUUGUAGUGUCUUAUCAAAAAAUCAGUUCAUAUUAGGUUUCAAAAUUAUGGAGACCCACCGAAGCUCUUUUUGGAUUCUAGCAAUACUUGCAAGAAUUUCAACGACCUUUGGAAUGUGUGAUCCACGUUGUGCCGGGUUUGGAGAUUGCUGCCCAUAACACUUGUCGUCAUUUAAUAUUUAUUUCCUGUCUGUUGGUUUUUUGUAUGAUAGAAAUAAUCGCAUAAUUUGUAAUGUGAAGUAAACAAUAAAUCAAGAAAUAUAUUU
rnacentral:lncRNA from 1 species